GGAGAGGACAUGGAUGGAUGGCUUGACUCCAGGUUCUGCUGUACUUCUUUUGUUUUGUGGUUCACUUCACAGCCCCAUCCAGCCCUGGUCUAACUGGUACCCUGUACUGUUUCUGUCCAUGGGGCAGAAGACUAGCCAGAGCCUCAAUCCAGAGACUUCAUUCAGACUAAAUGUUGGAGUUCUAAUUGACAGGAGUUUUGUCUCAUGGAUGAGAAGACGCCUAGUCCACGUCUACUGCCAGGCUUAAGGGGUUGGACUUCAUCUUUUGAAGAGAAUCAAGGGAGCUGGGUCUUCUUGAGUGUGUGGAUUCCAUCUUUCCCUUUGAAUCACACUUGGUCCUCAGGGAAGGCAGAUGAGCAAAGAAAACCUAAGGAUGUACUUCAGACAUGGCUGUGAUGUUUAUGGGAUGGUAGGUGAAAAUAGAAAAUCUGGAUGUGGUUUAAGUUUGGGGACGAGAAAUUGAGCACUCAUGAAUCCGAGGCCCAGAGCACUGCGCUUCUUUGAAAGCUGAGCUGUGAAGACUUUCUUUGCUAAGAUGUUAGCUUAGAGGUGAGGGAUGGAAAUGUUUCAGGAUGGCGAGUUGAAAGGUUAGGGUUUGGAUUAGGAAAGGCCACACUGCAGUUGGGUAUGUUACUGUCAGAAGGACCUAACUCCCCAUCCUUACGCUUCCAUAAGGAAACAUUAGCUCCACUCUCCCCACGGGGAAACAUCCCUGAGUGAUGCUUCCUCUCCCUGCUGAUUCUCAGGGAAAAUGUUAGGAAGCCCAUUUGGCUGCAGGUCUCAUCUCUCUCCACUGGCUGCCAAGAUAAUGUUUGAUCGCAUCUUCCUGACAUGUAUUUCUAGACUCUGUUGGCUCAGAUCAUGGGAGGGAGAGUGGGAGAUUUAUUGCCCUGCCUCAGACCAACCCAGCUGCCAGGUACAGCCUGGGGUUUUUGUACAUCAUCUCAUUUCAUCUCAAAACACUCUGGGAGACAAGUGUGUUUAAUCUCCAUUUAACUACCUCAUUUAAUCCUUACAACAACCUUAUGGGAUAUUUAAAACUAACCUUAGUGCAGAGAUAAAGAAACUGAGGCUUAGAGCACUUAAUUAAGCCACUCUGCUGGGCAGUGACAAAGCUGAGUGUGAACCUGGUUAUUUAUUUAUUUAUUUAUUUAUUUAUUUUUGUCUUUUUAGGGCUACACCCAAGGCAUAUGGAGAU
ensembl:lncRNA